GACGAACGCUGGCGGCGUGCUUAACACAUGCAAGUCGAACGCUGAAGCACCAGCUUGCUGGUGUGGAUGAGUGGCGAACGGGUGAGUAAUACGUGAGUACACUGCCCUUGACUCUGGGAUAAGCCCGGGAAACUGGGUCUAAUACUGGAUGCUACAUGUCACCGCAUGGUGGUGUGUGGAAAGGGUUUACUGGUCUUGGAUGGGCUCACGGCCUAUCAGCUUGUUGGUGAGGUAAUGGCUCACCAAGGCGACGACGGGUAGCCGGCCUGAGAGGGUGACCGGCCACACUGGGACUGAGACACGGCCCAGACUCCUACGGGAGGCAGCAGUGGGGAAUAUUGCACAAAGGGCGAAAGCCUGAUGCAGCGACGCCGCGUGAGGGAUGACGGCCUUCGGGUUGUAAACCUCUUUCAGCAGGGAAGAAGCCACAAGUGACGGUACCUGCAGAAGAAGCGCCGGCUAACUACGUGCCAGCAGCCGCCGUAA
rnacentral:rRNA from 1 species